UACUUAUACCGAUCAUACAGUUGUGGAUAAUCAGACUUUAAUGAAGAUCUCUUACGCAGACUGAGAGGAACAAGACAAUGCUACAAACUGCACAGUCUGUUAUGGCGGGGCAUUGGAUAUCAUCAUGGUUCAAUGGAGUAUAAACAAAGACAAGUUGUAGAGAUGCUUUUCAGACUGAAGCACAUCAAGGUGGUAACAGCUACCUCGACCUUUGCUUUGGGAAUUAAUAUGCCAUGUAAAUCUGUUGUUUUUAUAGAAGAUUCUGUAGUUUUGGAUGCCUUGAGCUUU